rnacentral:rRNA from 1 species
GGGGAAUAUUGCGCAAUGGAGGGAACUCUGACGCAGCAACGCCGCGUGAAGGAAGAAGGCUUUCGGGUUGUAAACUUCUUUGAUCGGGGACGAAGAUGACGGUACCCGAGGAACAAGCCACGGCUAACUACGUGCCAGCAGCCGCAGUAAUACGUAGGUGGCGAGCGUUGUCCGGAAUUACUGGGUGUAAAGGGCGUGUAGGCGGGGAGGCAAGUCAGAUGUGAAAUCCCGAGGCUCAACUUCGGAGCUGCAUCUGAAACUGUUUUUCUUGAGUACUGGAGAGGAAAGUGGAAUUCCUAGUGUAGCGGUGAAAUGCGUAGAGAUUAGGAGGAACACCAGUGGCGAAGGCGGCUUUCUGGACAGUAACUGACGCUGAGGCGCGAAAGCGUGGGGAGCAAAC